rnacentral:lncRNA from 10 species
AGCGAACCCUGUGAAUCACGUCAGCGCCUGCACAGUGGGAAGGGGUCCCCCCUGGCACGUUGCUGCCAAGUUUCAACAGCGCUUAGAGGGGAAGCGGCAGAAGCAAUUCGGCUUCUCGAUGGGCUUGCCCCGGCGUGCACUUGCACGAAGCAUUGGCAGGAAGGAAGCUUACAAAUUCAUCUGGGGCCACCAGCUUCCGGGGAUCCGGUGACUUUUACGCCGUACGCAGUGGCUCACGCCUGUAACCCCAGCACUUUGGGAGGCCAAGGUGGGAGGAUCACCUGAGGUCAGGAGUUCGAGACCAGCCUGGCCAACAUGGUGAAACCCUGUCUAUAAUAAAAAUACAAAAAUUAGCCUGGCGUGGUGGGGGGUGCCUGUAAUCCCAGCUACUUGGGAGGCUGAGGCAGGAGAAUCACUUG